rnacentral:rRNA from 1 species
GACGAACGCUGGCGGCGUGCUUAACACAUGCAAGUCGAACGGAAAGGCCCUGCUUUUGUGGGGUGCUCGAGUGGCGAACGGGUGAGUAACACGUGAGUAACCUGCCCUUGACUUUGGGAUAACUUCAGGAAACUGGGGCUAAUACCGGAUAGGAGCUCCUGCUGCAUGGUGGGGGUUGGAAAGUUUCGGCGGUUGGGGAUGGACUCGCGGCUUAUCAGCUUGUUGGUGGGGUAGUGGCUUACCAAGGCUUUGACGGGUAGCCGGCCUGAGCGGGUGACCGGCAAAAUGGGGCUGGGGUACGGCCCAGGAUGCUCCGGGGGGGAAGAGGGGGGAAUAUUGCACAAAUGGGGGGAGCCUUGUGGAACAAACGCCGGGUGCGGAAGACGGCCCUUGGGGUUGAAACCCCUUUUGCCCUGGAACGAAGGGUAAUGAGGGGAAAUGGGAAAAAAAGAACGGGUAACCUCGGU